CUGGUUUCGGUCUGGUGUAUACUUGACUGCAACUCGUAAAUCUGUAAUUAUUAAGUGAUCGACAGUGACUGGUUUCGGUGCCUUCGUAUUCUGUGUGACGAGUGUUUGUGCUGUAGAUCCCGUAACCGGCUUUAUCCAUAACUGGAAGCAUCCCAUGAUAACUAACACUCUAGUCGAAUAAAAUUGUAUCCUGGGUGUGUCCGGGUGAGAGGUACCGAGAUGAUUGAUGUCGCUGGUAUACUUACACUUACUGCAAACUGGAAUGGGCAACAUGCGGAAACUAAUUUCUGGCAGAUUCAAUCCAGGUGGGGAUACUGGACAGUUUAUUGAAUGUAGUAAACUGUAGUGUUUACUGGAAGUAUAUAUAUGUAUAAAAAACUAAGGAUUAUACUUUGCCUGUUGACAGGAAUUUGUCCUUGGCAGGGACUAAAGUUAUGUCCCUAAAUGUA